GUGAAAAAAUUAAUAAAAUGGAAAUUAUAAUAAAAAAAAUUUUAAUAUUAAAAAAUAUAUGGGGGUUAAAGUAUUUUUAAUAGAAAAAAUUUUUAAUUUUAUAGUUAAUUAGUAUUGUAAAAGAAUUUUGAAAUAAUAAUGAAAAUAAAAUUAUUUAAAAGUAAAUUUAAUUUAUUGUAUCUUGUGUAUCAGAGUUUAUUAAUAAAUAAUAUAUGUAAAUUAUAAUUCUCGAAUUUAAAAGAGUUAAUUAAUUAAUAAAUUUAUUGUUUUAUAAAUAUUUUAAAUAAUUAAUUGGAAAUGAAAUGUUAAUCGUUUUUAAAUAUAUCUAGUUUUUUUAGAAAAAAAUUAAAUUUUUAAUUAAAUAAAAAAUUUAUUUAUUAAAUAAAUAAAUUUUUUAUUUAAUUUAAUAAUUUAAGGGAUAAGCUUUAAAUUAAAAUUUUAUAAUAAAAUAUUAAAUAAAUUGAAAAUUUUAUAAUUUAUAUUGUUAAUAAAUUUUAUUUUAUUAUAAAUAAUUUCAUUAAAAUUUAAAAUUUAAUUAAAAAUUUAAUUUUUUAUAAAAAAAUAUUUUAAAAUAAUAAUAAAAUAGUUAUAAUGAUAAAAUUAGUAUAUAAUUAUAUAUUUAUUUAUUUAAUGAAAUUUAAAAAUAUUAUUAUUUAAUUUUAUAAUAAUUAUAAUAAAGGAACUCGACAAAAUUAUUAUAUUUUUUGAAAAUAUAAGAUAUGUUCACCUGUUUAUCAAAAACAUGUCUUUUUGAAAUUAAUUUAAAGUCUAAUCUGCCCACUGAUUAAAUAAUUAAAGGGCUGCAGUAUAUUGACUGUACAAAGGUAGCAUAAUCAUUAGUCUCUUAAUUGGUGACUUGUAUGAAGGAUUGGAUGAAAUAUAAAUUGUCUCUAUUAUAUAUAAUUGAAUUUAAUUUUUUAAUUAAAAAGUUAAAAUAUAUUAAAAAGACGAGAAGACCCUAUAGAGUUUUAUAUUUUUUAUUUUUAAAAUUAUAAAUUUAUUUAUAUAUUUUAAUAAAAGAAAAUAUUUUAUUGGGGUGAUAAAAAAAUUUAUUUAACUUUUUUUGAAAUUUUACAUAAAUAAGUGAUUUAUUGAUCCAGUAAUAUUGAUUAUAAGAAAAAAUUACCUUAGGGAUAACAGCGUAAUUUUUUUUUUUAGUACAAAUAAAAAAAAAAGUUUGCGACCUCGAUGUUGGAUUAAGAUAAAAUUUAAAUGCAAAAAUUUAAAAUUUUGAUCUGUUCGAUCAUUAAAAUCUUACAUGAUCUGAGUUCAAACCGGUGUAAGCCAGGUUGGUUUCUAUCUUUUAAUAAAUUUAAUAUUUUAGUACGAAAGGAUCAAAUAUUAUAAUUAAAUUAAUUUAUUUGAAUAUUAUUAAAUUAUAAUAAAAUUAUAAAA
rnacentral:rRNA from 1 species